GCGAGCGUUGUCCGGAUUUAUUGGGCGUAAAGAGCUCGUAGGCGGCUUGGCGCGUCAACUGUGAAAACCCGUGGCUCAACCAUGUGGUCUGCAGUCGAUACGGGCAGGCUAGAAUUCGGUAGGGGAGACUGGAAUUCCUGGUGUAGCGGUGAAAUGCGCAGAUAUCAGGAGGAACACCAGCGGCGAAGGCGGCGCUCUGGGCCGGAACUGACGCUGAGGAGCGAAAGCGUGGGUAGCAAACAGG
rnacentral:rRNA from 1 species